rnacentral:tRNA from 3 species
GGGCCGUUAGCUCAGCGGUUAGAGCAGGGGACUCAUAAUCCCUUGGUCGAUGGUUCGAACCCAUCACGGCCCACCA